rnacentral:rRNA from 1 species
UGGGGGAAUAUUGCACAAUGGGCGCAAGCCUGAUGCAGCCAUGCCGCGUGUGUGAAGAAGGCCUUCGGGUUGUAAAGCACUUUCAGCGAGGAGGAAGGUGGUGAGCUUAAUACGCUCAUCAAUUGACGUUACUCGCAGAAGAAGCACCGGCUAACUCCGUGCCAGCAGCCGCGGUAAUACGGAGGGUGCAAGCGUUAAUCGGAAUUACUGGGCGUAAAGCGCACGCAGGCGGUUUGUUAAGUCAGAUGUGAAAUCCCCGGGCUCAACCUGGGAACUGCAUUUGAAACUGGCAAGCUAGAGUCUCGUAGAGGGGGGUAGAAUUCCAGGUGUAGCGGUGAAAUGCGUAGAGGAUCUGGAGGAAUACCGGUGGCGAAGGCGGCCCCCUGGACGAAGACUGACGCUCAGGUGCGAAAAGCGUGGGGCAGCAAACAGGAUUAGAUACCCCUGGUA